GAUGAACGCUGGCGGCGUGCCUAAUACAUGCAAGUCGAGCGAACAGACGAGGAGCUUGCUCCUCUGACGUUAGCGGCGGACGGGUGAGUAACACGUGGAUAACCUACCUAUAAGACUGGGAUAACUUCGGGAAACCGGAGCUAAUACCGGAUAAUAUAUUGAACCGCAUGGUUCAAUAGUGAAAGACGGUUUUGCUGUCACUUAUAGAUGGAUCCGCGCCGCAUUAGCUAGUUGGUAAGGUAACGGCUUACCAAGGCAACGAUGCGUAGCCGACCUGAGAGGGUGAUCGGCCACACUGGAACUGAGACACGGUCAAGACUCCUACGGGAGGCAGCAGUAGGGAAUCUUACGCAAUGGGCGAAAGCCUGACGGAGCAAUGCCGCGUGAGUGAUGAAGGUCUUCGGAUCGUAAAACUCUGUUAUUAGGGAAGAACAAAUGUGUAAGUAACUAUGCACGUCUUGACGGUACCUAAUCAGAAAGCAACGGCUAACUACGUG
rnacentral:rRNA from 1 species